rnacentral:rRNA from 1 species
GACGUAGGGCGCGAGCGUUGUCCGGAUUUAUUGGGCGUAAAGAGCUCGUAGGCGGCUUGUUGCGUCGUCCGUGAAAUCCUGUGGCUCAACUGCAGGCUUGCGGUCGAUACGGGCAGGCUAGAGUUCGGUAGGGGAGACUGGAAUUCCUGGUGUAGCGGUGAAAUGCGCAGAUAUCAGGAGGAACACCGGUGGCGAAGGCGGGUCUCUGGGCCGACACUGACGCUGAGGAGCGAAAGCGUGGGGAGCGAACAGG